AGUGAACGCUGGCGGUAGGCCUAACACAUGCAAGUCGAACGGCAGCACAGUAAGAGCUUGCUCUUACGGGUGGCGAGUGGCGGACGGGGGAGGAAUACAUCGGAAUCUACUUUUUCGUGGGGGAGAACGUAGGGAAACUUACGCUAAUACCGCAUACGACCUACGGGUGAAAGCAGGGGAUCUUCGGACCUUGCGCGAUUGAAGGAGCCGAUGUCGGAUUAGCUAGUUGGCGGGGUAAAGGCCCACCAAGGCGACGAUCCGUAGCUGGUCUGAGAGGAUGAUCAGCCACACUGGAACUGAGACACGGUCCAGACUCCUACGGGAGGCAGCAGUGGGGAAUAUUGGACAAAGGGCGCAAGCCUGAUCCAGCCAUACCGCGUGGGUGAAGAAGGCCUUCGGGUUGUAAAGCCCUUUUGUUGGGAAAGAAAAGCAGCAGGUUAAUACCCCGCUGUUCUGACGGUACCCAAAGAAUAAGCACCGGCUAACUUCGUG
rnacentral:rRNA from 1 species